ACGUUAAUGAGACAUUUCUGUGGCUUAUUGCAGAUUGAUAAAACGACACAUCACCUUAAUAAAGACGGAAAUCUUUAAUAAGAGUGAAACAGAACUUCGGUUUUGCCUUUGCUGGAUACUGAUCUGGUCGUCGCAAGUCUGAGUGAACAGAUCUUUGGCUUUGCCUUUGCUGGUGACCUGCUGCAGAAGAUCCUCUCUCUCUAUCAUUAUAAGCAAUUCUGUCUAUCCUAUCUCUCUCCCAACUCUAUCUAAUUUGACAGCCAUUCUAUCUUGUAUCCCUCUCUCUACUGCUCUAUCUAAUUUGACAGCCAUUCCAUCUUGUAUCCCUCUAUCUCUACUGCUCUAUCUAAUUUGACAGCCAUUCCAUCUUGUAUCCCUCUAUCUCUACUGCUCUAUCUAAUUUGAGAAUCCAAGUUUUCAGAAAUCCAAGUUUUCAGAAUCCAAGUUUUCAGAAAUCCAAGUUACCAGUACUUGAUCUAUCUGUUACAGAAUUCUGAGAGAUCUCUGCUCUCACUGCUCCUUCUUUCCUGUCAUUAAGCUCUCUCACAUUCAGUCAUUUUGCUGGAAAUUACAAGUUGAAUAUACAGUAGUAGAAUUACAGUACAGUAGAACUUAUAGUAGAAACUACUUACACAGCCCUACAUUUGUCAUUUUAAUUUUGCAUUAGACUUUAGUUUGGACUGCUAGUUUGGCUUACUUUGAUCAAUUGUAUAAAAUAUCACCUUUUUAUAAGUUUAUUUGUAAUAAGAUAAUCUGGUUAUUUUGUAAUACAUACAUUCAGAUAAAUAAUAAAUUAGAUCCAGUCUGUUAGUUGUUUCAUUGGCUAUAACAUUUGACUGCAAGUUUAUAGUAUUAUUAUUUAAGGACAAACCCAUUUUGUCACUCAGUGUAAGUAUUCAGUUAGUAUUGUCAUCGAGAAGCGCCUGAGGACCCAGACUUCCUGUUUCCUGACUGCUGCAGAAAAUCCAGCUGAAGAAUCCUCAUCGCCUGUCAUCUUAUCACCACACCACCAAAGCUCCAUAUAUUUGAUUUAAAUUUUAGAUAUCUGAAAGAUUUACAUAA